CGCCUGUUUAUCAAAAACAUUUCUUCAUAAUUAUGAAGUAAGACCUGCCCAGUGAUUAGUUAAACGGCUGCGGUAUGCUGACCGUGCAAAGGUAGCGUAGUAAAUUGCUUUUUGAUUGUUAGCCUGAAUGAACGGUUUAAUUUUUUCGAUGGAUCUGGUUGUCUUAAAGUAAAAAAAAGGAGGCAUAAGAAUGUGUUUAUAAAUUAAGGGACGAUAAGACCCUGAAAGCUUGAAAAAAUAGGUGAGUUGUUUAGAUACUAUGUUUAUUAGCUGGGGCAGUUAAGAAGAAUUAGUCUAAGGAGUUUAUUUAUAGGAUCCUUUAUAUUAAGAAUAGCGGUGAUAGUUACUUCAGGGGUAACAGCGUAAUUACUUAGGAGAGUUCUUAUUGAUUAAGUAGAUUGCGACCUCGAUGUUGAAUUAAGAUUAUCUCAACGAUGAAGAAGAUGUUGAAGAAAGUUUGUUCAACUUUUAAAUACUUACAUGAUCUGAGUUCAAACCGGAG
rnacentral:rRNA from 1 species